AAAUAUUAUUGGCAGUCCCAGAGAGAGUCUAUUCUUCCUUUUAAGAAUAGUUAUGAGGCCAGGCGCGGUGGCUCACACCUGUAAUCCCAGCACUUUGGGAGUCCGAGGCGGGUGGAUCACUUGAGGUCAGGAGUUCAAGAUCUGCCUGGCCAAUAUGGUGAAACCCGUCUCUUAAAAAAAAAAAUAGUUAUGUAUUCAGGCAGUAGACAAAUUGGUAGAAAUAUAAAUUCACUUGAAAUUUUAAUAGAAUUUAAUUACACAAAUGUAAUCUUUAAAAAAACAUUCAUUCUAUCCGGGCAUGGUAUCUCACACCUGUGAUCCCAGCACUUGGUGGGGAGGGGUGGAUCACUUGAGGUCGCGAGUUUGAGACCAGCCUGACCAACAUGGAGAAACCCCAUGUCGGCUGGGUGCAGUGGUCAUGCCUGUAAUCCCAGCACUUUGGGAGGCCAAGGUGAUCCACUGGCCUGGGCCUGCCAAAGAGCUGGGAUCAUAGGAGUGAGCCACUGCACCCGGCCUGCAAUUUUUUUAACUAAUGAAGAGUGGAGCGUUUUCCAUGUCAGUGUGAUUCGCUUCCUCAUUUACUACUGUAGAACAUUCCAUAGCAUGGGGUUCGUUCUGCCAUGAUGGACAUAUUAAGUUGUCAGUUUAAUUCCACAGCGAAAGAUUUUGUUUUUCGGUAAUACAGUAAUUGACUCUACUUUUGAUCAAACAUCCAGUAGAUUCUUUCCAUCAACUGAUUUCUCUUUUUCUUUCUCUCUCUCUCUCUUUCCCUCCCUCCCUCCUUCCCUUCCUUCCUUUCGACACAGCCUUAUUCUGUCACCCAGGCUGGAGUGCAGUGGUGCAAUCUUGGCUCACUGUGACCCUAACCUCCCAAGUUCAAGCGAUUCUCCUGCCUCAGCCUCCUAAGUAGCUGGGACUACAGGCACAUACCACUACACUUGGCUAAGUUUUGUAUUUUUAGUAGAGACAGGGCGCUUCACCAUGUUGGCCAGGCUGGUCUCAAUCAAACUCCUUACCUCAGGUGAUCCACCUACCUCGGCCUCUUAAAGUGCCGGGAUUAUAGGCGUGAGCCACCACACCCACCCUUUCCAUCUGUUUCAAACAAAGAGCGUGCACUUUAACAUUUAUUGGGCCACUCUCAUAUACAAGCACUGUG
rnacentral:lncRNA from 13 species